UACGUAGGGUGCGAGCGUUAAUCGGAAUUACUGGGCGUAAAGCGUGCGCAGGCGGUUUUGUAAGCCAGAUGUGAAAUCCCCGGGCUUAACCUGGGAAUGGCAUUUGGGACUGCAAGGCUUGAGUUUGGCAGAGGAGACUGGAAUUCCUGGUGUAGCAGUGAAAUGCGUAGAUAUGUGGAGGAACACCGAUGGCGAAGGCAGCCUCCUGGGCUAGUACUGACGCUCAUGCACGAAAGCGUGGGGAGCAAACAGG
rnacentral:rRNA from 1 species